rnacentral:rRNA from 1 species
UACGAAGGGGGCUAGCGUUGUUCGGAAUCACUGGGCGUAAAGGGCGCGUAGGCGGUUUUAUAAGUCGGGGGUGAAAGCCUGUGGCUCAACCACAGAAUUGCCUUCGAUACUGUAGAGCUUGAGACCGGAAGAGGUAAGUGGAACUGCGAGUGUAGAGGUGAAAUUCGUAGAUAUUCGCAAGAACACCAGUGGCGAAGGCGGCUUACUGGUCCGGUUCUGACGCUGAGGCGCGAAAGCGUGGGGAGCAAACAGG